GGUACUGUGGCCGAGCGGUCUAAGGCGCUCGGCCACAGGCUCCAGUCUCUCUGGAGGCGUGGGUCACAGGCUCCAGUCUCUCUGGAGGCGUGGGUUAGAAUCCCACCGCUGCCA
rnacentral:tRNA from 1 species